AACAAACGCUGACGGCGUGCCUAAUACAUGCAAGUCGAACGGGGUAGCAAUACCUAGUGGCGCACGGGUGAGUAACGCGUGGAUAAUCUGCCUUAGAGUGGGGGAUAACUAGUCGAAAGAUUAGCUAAUACCGCAUAAGACCACAAGAACUGCGGUUCAAGGGGUCAAAGGUUUUUCGUUCUAAGAUGAGUCCGCGUAAGAUUAGCUAGUUGGUGAGGUAAUGGCUCACCAAGGCGACGAUCUUUAACUGGUCUGAGAGGAUGAUCAGUCACACUGGAACUGAGACACGGUCCAGACUCCUACGGGAGGCAGCAGUAGGGAAUAUUGCACAAUGGAGGAAACUCUGAUGCAGCGACGCCGCGUGAGUGAUGAAGGCCUUCGGGUCGUAAAGCUCUGUCGCAGGGGAAUAACACAAUGAAUGUACCCUGUAAGAAAGGAUCGGCUAACUUCGUGCCAGCCGCCGCGGUAAAAC
rnacentral:rRNA from 1 species